CUGAAAAUAAACAACAAUGAAAAAUUCGGUGGUAGUGCGGGAAAAAGAAAAACACCCCAGAUCCAAAUUUUAGAUUAUAAUUUUAAUAUACUGUUACCAUCAUACAGGAAGAAGUGAAAAAAAAUACAUAACUCGGAUGUGAUCGCAUCUGAGGAUUACUGAUGGAGAGUAGAAGGGAUAGAAUCACACGCUGGAAGUACAAGAAGGGGAAAAUGGAAUAUGGGAAAGGAAAGCUGGAGGCAAAGAUUUACCUCAGAAAGGAGAACAGUAGGAGACCACAAUAGUUGGUCAGACCAUCACCUACAAAUCAGAGGAAUGAACAAAAAAGAAAUCCGUGUCUGGACUUUCUAAAUAUGGCACAUAGAGCAUAGAGAGUUUUACAUAUGCUUUUACAACUUUGGACAUAGUUUAAAUGAUACAUUGGCCGCGAGGAAGCCAGACCAUCCAAACUUUGCUAAUAUCAGAAACAAAAGCACCAACAGAAAGAAGAAAUGACAAAAGAUCAGUGAAGGUACUGAGUCAGACACAGCAAUCUCCGGCAACAGAAAAAGUGAAAAAGGAAACAUUUAAAGUAAGACAACUGUGUGAUGCUGGGACUCACAGUGCAGUGCCUUCUGUUGUAGCAAGUGUCUAUAUUGCUAUGAACAACCCAGACAAUGCCAGAAUGUUGUAGCAGUAAGGACCACAGACCCACAUUUCAGCUUAAGACCAUCAUUUACUGAAAUCUGCUUAUAGGAAAAUGUGAUUAGCUGGAAGGUGAGUAGUUUGAUUGGUCUUCCCUCUUAGUAGUUCGAAGUUACAAAUAAGUUACAAAUGCUAUUUUAUAGUUACAAGGAAUACUUGUAUUUGAAUAGUGGUAACUCAUUUUUAAUUGAUCUGCCAUCCAUGUUGUCCUUCUAAGAAUUCUCUUUUUAGUCAGUGGUCUCGUCUGAUGGAACAAUAUCAUACCCAGAGAUUUCUUGUAACACAAAAGAACCCUGAGCUUCUUAGGUAGGAGGGGUAAAAGGAAAACAGAUGAAGAGAGCCAAAUAGCCCCAUUUGGUUGAUGUAGAUAUAGAUGGGUCUUUCAAUCCAUUUUUGAAACUGGCUGAUAGGGCUACCAC
rnacentral:lncRNA from 1 species